GUAGGGAAUCUUCCACAAUGGACGAAAGUCUGAUGGAGCAACGCCGCGUGAGUGAAGAAGGUUCUCGGAUCGUAAAACUCUGUUGUGAGGGAAGAACAAGUACCGGAGUAACUGCCGGUACCUUGACGGUACCUCAUUAGAAAGCCACGGCUAACUACGUGCCAGCAGCCGCGGUAAUACGGAGGUGGCAAGCGUUGUCCGGAAUCAUUGGGCGUAAAGCGCGCGCAGGCGGUCCCUUAAGUCUGAUGUGAAAGCCCACGGCUCAACCGUGGAGGGUCAUUGGAAACUGGGGGACUUGAGUGCAGAAGAGGAAAGCGGAAUUCCAAGUGUAGCGGUGAAAUGCGUAGAGAUUUGGAGGAACACCAGUGGCGAAGGCGGCUUUCUGGUCUGUAACUGACGCUGAGGCGCGAAAGCGUGGGGAGCAAACAGGAUUAGAUACCCCGGUAGUCC
rnacentral:rRNA from 1 species